UGACGGGAAUGGAAGGAGCAGAUGGC
rnacentral:piRNA from 1 species